GACGAACGCUGGCGGUGUGCUUAACACAUGCAAGUGGUGCGACGAACCAGAGCUUGCUCUGGGGCAAAGCCGCGAACGGGUGAGUAACACGUGGGUAAUCUACCCCGAUGACCGGGACAACCCGAGGAAACUCGGGCUAAUACCGGAUGUGGUGUACUGGCAUAAGCCGGUCCACUAAAGGUAGCUUCGGCUUCCGCAUUGGGAGGGGCCCGCGGCCCAUUAGCUUGUUGGUGGGGUCAAGGCCUACCAAGGCAACGAUGGGUAGCUGGUCUGAGAGGACGAUCAGCCACACUGGGACUGAGACACGGCCCAGACUCCUACGGGUGGCUG
rnacentral:rRNA from 1 species